UAUAGAUAAUUUGCUAUUCUGUAACGUUAGAUAAAUGGACCAACGCGAACACAGGUUGUGGACCCUGGUUUUCAGACCGUAACGUUACAGACGUUGGGAUUGAUUACACAGCUAACUUGGUUAUUUUGCUAUUUAAGCUGCUUUUGUUUGUUAGUGUAAAGUAAAACUAAUUCUAACAUUUGGUUUUGCUUUAGGGAGCAAGGAGCAUACUGCUCAAUUUAUCAAACUCAGGGGGGAGAACGACGAGCUCUUCACCGGGGUGAAACAUUCGGCGAGUGUGGCUUGGGGGACAAUUCUGGAGAAAAUAGGCCUGCAGGGGAAUGUGACUCCCCUGCAGGCAAAGAAAAAAUGGGAUAAUUUAAAAAAAUAUAUAUAAAGAUUGCAAGUAUCCAGGGUCAGGAGAGGG